CAGCAGCCGCGGUAACACGGAGGGGGCUAGCGUUGUUCGGAAUUACUGGGCGUAAAGCGCACGUAGGCGGCUUGGUAAGUUAGAGGUGAAAGCCUGGAGCUCAACUCCAGAAUUGCCUUUAAGACUGCCGAGCUAGCAGGUGAGAGAGGUAAGUGGAAUUCCGAGUGUAGAGGUGAGAUUCGUAGAUAUUCGGAAGAACACCAGUGGCGAAGGCGGCUUACUGGCUCAUACUGGACGCUGAGGUGCGAAAGCGUGGGGAGCAAACAGGAUUAGAUACCCGCGUAGUCCCUGUCUCUAUACC
rnacentral:rRNA from 1 species